rnacentral:rRNA from 1 species
GACGAACGCUGGCGGCGUGCUUAACACAUGCAAGUCGAACGGAAAGGCCCUGCUUUUGUGGGGUGCUCGAGUGGCGAACGGGUGAGUAACACGUGAGUAACCUGCCCUUGACUUUGGGAUAACUUCAGGAAACUGGGGCUAAUACCGGAUAGGAGCUCCUGCUGCAUGGUGGGGGUUGGAAAGUUUCGGCGGUUGGGGAUGGACUCGCGGCUUAUCAGCUUGUUGGUAGGGUAGUGGCUUACCAAGGCUUUGACGGGUAGCCGGCCUGAGAGGGUGACCGGCCACAUUGGGACUGAGAUACGGCCCAGACUCCUACGGGAGGCAGCAGUGGGGAAUAUUGCACAAUGGGCGGAAGCCUGAUGCAGCAACGCCGCGUGCGGGAUGACGGCCUUCGGGUGGUAAACCGCUUUCGCCUGUGACGAAGCGUGAGUGACGGGAAUGGGUAAAGAAGCACCGGCUAACUACGU